AGUGAACGCUGGCGGUAGGCCUAACACAUGCAAGUCGAACGGCAGCACAGUAAGAGCUUGCUCUUACGGGUGGCGAGUGGCGGACGGGUGAGGAAUACAUCGGAAUCUACUUUUUCGUGGGGGAUAACGUAGGGAAACUUACGCUAAUACCGCAUACGACCUACGGGUGAAAGCAGGGGAUCUUCGGACCUUGCGCGAUUGAAUGAGCCGAUGUCGGAUUAGCUAGUUGGCGGGGUAAAGGCCCACCAAGGCGACGAUCCGUAGCUGGUCUGAGAGGAUGAUCAGCCACACUGGAACUGAGACACGGUCCAGACUCCUACGGGAGGCAGCAGUGGGGAAUAUUGGACAAUGGGCGAAAGCCUGAUCCAGCCAUACCGCGUGGGUGAUGAAGGUCUUCGGGUUGUAAAGCCCUGUUGUUGGGAAAGAAAAGCAGCAGGUUAAUACCCGGCUGUUCUGACGGUACCCAAAGAAUAAGCACCGGCUAACUUCGUG
rnacentral:rRNA from 1 species